GACGGAGGAUGCAAGCGUUAUCCGGAAUGAUUGGGCGUAAAGCGUCCGCAGGUGGCUAUGUAAGUCUGCUGUUAAAGAGUGAGGCUCAACCUCAUAAGAGCAGUGGAAACUACAUAGCUAGAGUGCGUUCGGGGCAGAGGGAAUUCCUGGUGUAGCGGUGAAAUGCGUAGAUAUCAGGAGGACACCGGUGGCGAAGGCGACGUCCUGGACCGGCAUUGACGCUGAGGCGCGAAAGCCAGGGGAGCAAACGGGG
rnacentral:rRNA from 1 species